UACAGAGGGUGCGAGCGUUAAUCGGAAUUACUGGGCGUAAAGGGUGCGUAGGUGGUUGGAUGAGUCAGAUGUGAAAUUCCAGGGCUUAACCUUGGGACUGCGUUUGAUACUGUUUAGCUAGAGUAUUGUAGAGGAUAGUAGAAUUUCCGGUGUAGCGGUGAAAUGCGUAGAUAUCGGAAGGAAUAUCGGUGGCGAAGGCGACUAUCUGGACAAAUACUGACACUGAGGCACGAAAGCAUGGGGAGCAAACAGG
rnacentral:rRNA from 1 species